rnacentral:lncRNA from 1 species
CGUAAAGCCUUGAUAGUUUUCCCAAGCAGAGGAAAGCAAACCCCAAUAGCUCCAGCAACGAGAAUGGAAGCUAAAGCAGCCAUCUUGUAUUUGUGCGCCAGUGGCUUAUUCCGAUCUUCAUCUUCAGGUUCGCACAUGCAGUCUCCUCUUCCUAGGGAAGGAAAUAAGAUGAGAAAGCAGCAAAGAAACAUCGAGAGCUGAGUUUGUUUAAAGUUGGUCAUGGCUGGAAAUGAAAACCGAAUCCAAUUGAGGCUAAAAAAAAAUAGAAAAAGAGAAGUUUUGGAGAGAGUGAAUAAAGAAGUGUUGUUUAUAUAGGGCAAACUAGGGCAGGGCAAAUUAUUCUGGCCCUACGAUAUGUGAGAUUGAAUAAAGAAGUGUUGGUCUUAUUUGUCAGAUUGGUGAGAUCGGCAGGACGAUUUGGUCAACUGAUGUUGAAAAUUUAAAUACUUUUUUACUGUAUUUGUAUAUUAUAGAAAAAUAAUGAGCUCAUUUUUACAAAUAAUAAUUUUAAUAAAUUUUAAUUUUUAAAAUCACAAUAAAUGAAAGUGACUUCUAAAAUCUUAAAAUCUUAUAAUUUUAAUUUUAUGUGUAAUGUAUUAAACUUGAAAAGAAGUCAAAUCUUAACAAAAAAAGUUUAUAUACCUCGGUCUCAUAUAAAAAAUUGUAUUACUAUAUUAUAAUAUAUAUGUGUGGGCACAUGUAAACUUAAACUUAUGAAACAUGAGAUGAAAUUAUUAAAUUUUUUAUUAAAAUAAAUAUUAUCUCAUAAAUUAAAUGCAGAUUUUUAUAUAAAUAAUUUAAAAUUUUUUCUUAAUUAAAAAUGCUAAAAUUUGCAAAUUUAGGAGAAUUAACGCGAAGACUUAGAGAUCUUAAGAACAACCAGAGGUGUUCAAAGAAUGUCAACAUAAUAAUCAUUAAGAAGAAAAUUCAAAGGCUUUCCAUUGUUAACGCCAAGCUUAAAUUGGUAAAAUUCAAAAAGAAUGCCAAUAUUAUUUAGAAGCCAGCUUUCUCUGCUUGGCAGGAAGAUGGUUAUCACAUUCCUUGGGGUAUUUUUGGCAAGAAGAUAGUGAUCUGUUCAUUUCCUAAAAGAGAAAAAAAAAAAAAAAAAGGGUUUUCCGUGGUCCUUUCCAACAUUCAUGGUACACUACACUAAGAAAAUAGCCUGUCGAUUUUUUUUUCUAAUAUAAUUAUAACGAUUUGAAAUUUUAUGGUAAAAAAAUUAAAUAUAAUUUUGAAUAAAAUUUAAAUUUGAUAAGAUCAUUAUCAAGCUAAACUCAAACAUGAGUAAUUCAACUUAUUGAACGAAUUGAAUUCAAACAUCUUAAUAUCUCAUUCAAAUAAGUCAUCAACUUAAUUGAAUUUUUAUAUUUUAAUAUAUAUUUUUUAUUAUUUUAAUUAAAAAUAUUAUUUUACCUUUAUAUAUCAAUUUAAGUCAGAGUUAGAAUUUGAACAUAUAUAAUCAAGUAUGAAAUGAAAUUUGAGAAUCAAACCUGAUUUUUAUUCAGUAAAUGAGUUUAAUCUAACGAGUUCAAAUAAUUUGAUAUUUAUUUCGAAUCAAAUUUAAACUUAAAUAUUAAAACUUGAUUAAGCUUAAAUUUAGUUUCAAAUAACAAAUUUCAAAUUGAGUUCAAAUUUUUUGUUGUAUUAGCCCAACUCAAUUAUAUUCAUAGUCAACGAUGAGCUUAAAUUAGCAUAAUUCAAUUAGAAUGUCGAUAAUGUUUAGGGGAUUUUUCUUCUUGGCAAGAAGACGAUGAUCUAAUAUGUGCAAAUGUAAAUGCCUAAUAUGAUAUCCCCUAAAGGAAUCUAUCUGUUCAUUUCCUUAUAGAAAAAAAAAGAAAAGAGUUUGCCAUUUUAUUACUCAUUCUCAAUAUUUAGGUGGUGUUGCGUUUGGAGUGAUCAUUCAAUAAUCAUGGUGAUCUAUGAAUGGUGAGCAAACCACCGUAUUUAACAACCAUUUAGUGAUUUAACGUGAUGGUGAUCUUAAAUCAUUAAAGUAGUAUUUGGUAUAGGAUGAUCGCCUUAAAAACUAUAGUGAUGUACAAAUGUUAAUUAGAUCACUUUGCUUGGUAAGCAUUUGGUAAUCUUACGUAGUAGUGAUCAUAUCAUUGUCUUGGAGGGUGAUCGAAUUUUCAUAUAAAAAGGUGGGAAACAUUUAUCAUCUAGGUGAUGAAAUAUAUAAAAUUCGCAACAAUUAAUAUUAUCCAAUUAAUAUGCAAAUUAAAAUCUUGUUGCAUCUUAAAAUUGUAAUUAUUUUAUAUUAUAAAUUUUUAUAUUUCCAAACUAAUAUUCAUUAUAACAAGUUCAAAAUAAUUUUUUUUUUUACUUUUUUUAAUAUUUUAUAUAUAAUAUAAUAUUUUAUAUUUCUUUUAUUAUGAAUUUAAUAGAUUUGUUUCAUUUUUUAUUUUAAUUUUUUUUCAUAAUUUAUAUUAUAAAAAUAAAUUUACCUAUCAAUAAAUAUAUUUAUUAAUUUAAUAAUUUAAUUAUUUUUAUUAUAAUAAAUAAAUAUUAUUAAUAUUUUUUAAAUUAUUAUCUUUAAACAACCAUAAAAUUAUUAAUUUAUGUAACCAUUAUAAUAUGCAUAGUUAUUUUUGUGGUUUUAAAUAAAAUAAUGUUUAAUUUUUAGUAUUACUAAAUGUAGUGAUCUUUAAUUUUUAGGAAUUAAUCAUUGUUAAUCAAAAAAAGUUAUUUCAAAUCAGAAGUAUUAAUAUUAUUUUUGUAAUAAGAUCACCCCGAAAAUUAUAUUACCGAGAUGAUCUUACAAAAGAUACCAAACACUACCCAAAAGUGAUUAGAUUAUUGCCUUAAAAGGUGAUCUAGUACCUAUCUAAUGAAGUGAGAAACUUUUAUCAUUGAGAUGAAAUGGUAUGUAAAAUUAAUAAUAGUAAAUAUUAUCUAUUUAAUAUGUGAAUUAAAAACUUACUUUUUUAAAAAAUUAAUUGUUAUUAUUUUAUAUUAUAAUUUUUAUAUUUUCAAACUAAUAUUUAUUUUAAUAAGUUCAAAAAUAUUUUGUAUGAUUUAUUUAUUUUUAAAAUUUAUUUAUAAUAUAAUUUUUUUAUUUUAAUAUAUUAGUUUGAUUUUCUAGUUCAAAUAUCUUUUUACAUAAUUUAUACUAUAAAAAUUAGUUUACUAUCAAUAAAUAUAUUAUUAAUCUAAUAAUUUGAUUAUAUUUAUUAUGAAGUAAAUAAAAUAUUACUAAUAUUUUAUACACAAUUAUUUAAUUUAAAUUACAUUGAAAUUAUUAACUUGUAUAACUAUUAUAAUGUGCAUAGUUAUUUUGGUACUUUCAAACAAAAUAAUGUCUAAUUUUUAGUAAUAUCAAACACAAUAAUCUUUAAUUAUUAAGAAUUACUGAUUCUUACCCAAACAAAUUGAUUCUAAAUUAUGAGUGAUAAAAUUACCUUAGUAAUAAGAUCAUCUCAGUGAUUAAAUUACCAUAAUAAUAUUGAAAAUGAUAUCAAAUGCUAUCUCAUAGUACAACACCUAAAACAAAACCUAUCAAUUUCUUUUCUCUUUUCCUUUAUUACAAUUAGCUAUUAGAACUUGUUUUAAUCAAAUAUAAUUUUAGAAAAAAAAAUUCAAAUUCAAUUUUGAAAAAUGAAAACUUAGAUACAUGCAUUGACCAUCAAAUCAAAUGUUCUGAACUUUAAUGAUUAAAGAAUUUUAUCAUGUAAUAUAUAAGCACUCUCUUACAUGACUCAUUUUUUCAAUUUCAUAAAUUUUGUAUUGGUUCAAACAAAAAAAAUUGUUAAUACUCUAAAAGAGCAAAACAUGUUCAUCAAAAGUUCCAAAUAAAUUUUUCAUUGAUGAAUAAAAACAAAUCAUCAAUUUUGCUUCACAUGAUCAUUUGUCAAAAUCUAUCUAAUGCUCAUACUGAUCAAAUAUUUCAUGUUUGGUCAGAAGUUGUUCAUGUCCUUCAAACUAUAGAAAAAGAGUUUCACUUAUCUAACAAAUCUGAUGGUAUCAUCAUAUAUCGUUCUAUUAAAGGGCAAGACUUUUGCUAUCUUUUUCUUACUUAACCUUAAAUCUUAAACUCUAAUAUCAAAAUAUAUAUAUUUUUUACAAAAAAAGCCAAGGCUUAGGGAUAGAUAAAGGAAUUGUAAGUCUUGGAUUCAAAUCUUAAACUUAUUAAAUGCCAUCUCUUAAGGAUGAAUGCAUGAAUUAAUUAAGUUAAGUUUCGAAUUAAAAAAAAAACAUAUAUUUAAUGACAAAUAAUUCAAAUAAGAAAUCAAAUUUGAUCUAUCAAUAGAUUCACUUGAAUCAAAAAAAUAUUUUUAAAGUAAUUUUGAUUGAAAAAUCUAAAAAAAGUGUAAGAGUUACACUAGUGUAAGUGAAUCCCUCUUCAUAUGUAUAUUAUGUAGGGAGAGAAGGGAUCCAUUUACUGCAGUGUUACAUUUUUUUUUCACCAUUAGGUUUGGAUUAAAAUAAAUAUUUUAAAUCUUAACCAUUUUGAUCUAAGGAUCAGAAAAAAAAAAGUACAACACGUACAUUAAUGUAACUAGAUCUCUACCCAUAAUAUAUAUAUAUAUAUAUGAUAGCCAACUUAAAAAAAAGUGUAAGAGUUACACUAGUGUAAGUGAAUCCCUCUUCAUAUGUAUAUUAUAUAGGGAGAGAAGGGAUCCAUUUACUGCAGUGUUACAUUUUUUUUUCACCAUUAGGUUUGGAUUAAAAUAAAUAUUUUAAAUCUUAACCAUUUUGAUCUAAGGAUCAAAAAAAAAAAAAGUACAACACGUACAUUAAUGUAACUAGAUCUCUACCCAUAUAUAUAUAUAUAUAUGAUAGCCAACUUAUACUAGUGUAAAAUUGUUUAGUUUAUAAUUUUUUUUAAUCACUAAUUUCAAUAGAUCCAAAGAUGAGAGAAACAACUCAAAUAGAGAAAAAAAUAAAUUAAAUUUUAUUUCUUAGAUUUAUUGAAAUCAAUAAUUAAAAAAAAUUUAAAACCAAAAAAAUUUUUACAUUGACGUAAGUUGAUCACUUCUUUUAUAUAGAGAGAGUAGAGAUCCACUUAUAUUAGUGUAACUUUUACAUUUUUUUUAGACUUUUGGAUCAAAAUUACUAAAUUUAAAAAUAUUAUUUUGAUUCAAAUGAGUCAUGAAUUUAAUUUUGAUCUAAGGGUUCAAAAAAGUGUAGGAGUUACAUUAUUGUAAUUUAUCAUAACAAGACCGCUAGAUGAAUUAUAAGAAAUCAAACCAAAACUGGAGAGUCACCAUCAAUCUUUUUUCGCUAGGUGUGAAAAUUUUGUCUUUCUAAUAAAAUUUUAAAAUUAAUUAAAACUUAUUAAAGAGAUAAUUUCUUGUUUAGUUUGCGAAAAUAAAUUUGGGUUCAAAAGUUCAAUUACGCAUGAUGAAGAAUUAGUAUCCCAUAACAUUUGUUUUAAAAAUGGUACUAACUAAUCGCAUGUUAUUCUUUUAUUUUGAUAAAAAUAGUCUUACUUUUAAUAUUUAAAAUAAUUCUCUUAAUUUUUUAUUUUUUUGUAAAAAUCUUUUUAUAAACCUUUUAUUUAGAAUUAUAGACACUCCAUUUCAUGUAAGGCUGGUAAUUAAAUUUCGGUUUAGAUUUCAUCUAGAUUAUUGAGCUUUCAAGGUGCCUAUUGGGUCUUUAAAUUGGUGUGGAAUAAUUGGGCUUUAAAUUGAUCUUAGGUUUUAAGCCCAACGUAUAGUUCUUCUGGUGUCUAGGUUUAAAGCCUAUCAUAUAAUUGCAUUCUUAUGUUUUUUCAUUUUAUAGCCUUAAUAAAAAUUCAAUCAAAAAAUAAAAAAUAAAAAGAAAUUUUAGAGUUUAAUCCAAAAAUUAGAGUUACUUAAAACUAGAAAUCAAAUUAGAAAAUCACUGAUCACAAUCAAACAAAAAAAUUAAAGCCCUAAGAAUCAAGCCACGAUUUAAAUCAAAUCUGUUUAUGGUAGAUUCAAUCUUUGAUAAUGAAACCCUAAAAUUUCUUAUGAAAAAGCCUAUAUAAAUCAUGCUCAAAACCAUAAAAAAGAAAUAGAGAAAAUUGAUAAAAAAAAUUGUAGUAAUUUUUGGCGUGAAAAGAUAUAUUGGUUUUUGGCAUAGUUAUGGGAUUUUUAUUUUUAUGAGCCAUUUUUCAUCUUGAAAUUUUGGUGUAGUUUCUAGGUUAAUCUUUAAGGUGGUGUCGAAUUUCUAUAAUAAAGUGAUUUUUCUAAGAUUUUUUGGUAAUUUGUAGCGUUUAGGUUUCUAGGUUUUUUUUUUUCGAAAACUAGACUUUUUCAACAAAGUUUAAGUUUCUGGUGGUCGAAAUAUGGAAUUUUUGCCCUUUUUUGGGUUUUUUUGAAUUUCUCGGUGGGUUUAUAAAGAAUGGUUAAAAAGAAUCUGAUUUAGAAAAAGAGGGAGUUAGGCAAUUUUAAAGAAAAAAAAAGAAACUUAACUUUUAUACAGGGAAGGAACAACACCGUUUUAGAGAAAAUUUUGAUCGAUAUAAACCUGGUUGACCCUGCAUUUUAAACCUGACCCGAUUGCAGGUAUUUGUUUUUAUUUUUCGUUUUUUUUUUGUUUUAAUUUUUUUCUUUUCUUUUUUGGUUUUAUUUUAUAUUAUUUUUAUUUAUUUAUUUAUGUAUUUAUUAUUAUUAUUAUUAUUAUUAUUAUUAAUUAUAGAUUGAAUAGCUUGUUUUUGUAAGAUGUCUUUAUGAAUUUCAUUUUAUUAUUUAUUCAUUUAAAAAAAUAAAAAAAUUUUGAAAAUAAAUUCAUGAAUAUUAUCAAACUGUUGGAGGAUUUUACCAAUUAUUUUUUUGAAUAAAAUAUAUUAAUGAAUCCGACGACGGAGCAUCUUAAGAAUGAAACAUUAGUUUUUAUAAAUAUUUUUGAGGUGCAAAAAUUAUCUUAAAUUAUUAUCAAACUAUUUGAGUAAUUUUAGGAUCAAUUUCUAAUAAUAAAUUAUUUGGUAAAAUUGUAAAAAUAUCUUAAGGCUUGGAUUAUUUGAAAUCAAACUGGUAUCAUCUUUUAGAUGGGUACUGUGAAGGUGCUAUAAAUUUUUUCUCAUGUAAUUGCACUCAUGAAUCUAAAAUCUAGUUUCGUACACUAGAAUUACUAUUUAUAGAUAUGUACAUCAAACUUGAAACUUUUCUUUAAAUGAGAUAGAUACAGUUAGGUAGCUAAUCAUACCUAAAACAAAAAUAUUGGUGAUGGCUUUUUAAGUUUAUGUCUAGCGAUAAGUCUAUGGAUCUAUACGUUAUGACAGUUUGAUGAAUCCACUACAAAUAUAGAGAGUCAAGCCAGCAAAUGAUUUCUUAUUAUCCAAGCUUACUUAAUAAAUUUAAGAAUUUUUCUUCAUAAAUUUUUUUUAUCAUACUUGUCAUUCACUUAUAUGUGCAAAACAUGAACUCUACACCUUUUUUUUAGUCUUUUAAGAGGGACUAAAGUACCAAUUCCUUUAUGAGAUUUUAUAUCUUUGUAUGGACUAGUGAAAUACUCUUAUUCAAAUUGAAUCAUUUUUGCUUGAAGAAUGGACGAGAAUUAGGAUACUUUACUAACCUAUGAUAGAUAAUAAUAUAAGAAACAAUUUGGGAACCUUUAGAAGUGACUCAAGUCAUAUAUAGUUAACUUUACGAGCUUAAUAUAUAGAUAGAGCCAUGUUCUUUUUAGCCUUUAGAUUAAUCUGAAAGUUAGAGUCGUGUUGUUAUUGUAUUGUAUUUAUUAAUAUUUUUUAUAUUAUGAUAAUUAACUAAUUUUUUUGUUUGAUUUUCUUUCUUACAUAUUCAUAAACAUGCAUAUAGAUUGCAUAUAAUUAUGCCUUAAAGAUAUCUUCAACAAAAGCUUUCAUAGAACCCACAGAACGUCUAGUUUGUGCGUCAUCUGUGUUCUUCAAAUGUAAGUCACUUAGUGAUUUGAAGAUUGAAUAAAAAAAAAAAAAGGUAGCGAAAAGAAGAAAAUUGUUGACCACCUGACUAUGUCUCUACCUUGCCUAAGGAAAUGCAAUAACUCCUUAAACAAAAUGAUUUAAAAAACCUAUCAGAUAUAUAAAAUAACAUCGCUCAUUCAAGGCAGCAAACUUUUUGUUAGAAGUUUGAGCAUAUUGCACAUCUCCUAUCAAUAAAGGUUAAAAACUCACUCAUUAAGAUAAUGGUGCCAUUUUAAGACCCAUCAUAUUGUUAUUUCAUCUUUAAUGAAAUUGAUUUGAUGUCGACUAUAAAAGAGUAUUUGAUUAUGAUGAGUCUGUAUCUCUAGUAUCCAGAUAGGGUUAUGUGAAGAAGCAAAAGCUAGGAUAUCAUAAAAAGUUGGCCCAUAUUUUAAGAGUAGAAAAUGAGUUCAUAGAUUCACAUGUUCAAGAAAAAGAAGGGCAUAAAGGUAUUUCAUGAAAAUUUUUUGAGAUUUCAUUGUCAAACAUCCUUAUUAUUAAAGAAUGAAUGUGUUUACUUUAGCAAUAUAUAGAAUGGUGAUUUUCUUAAAGUUUUAGGCCAUAUUGAGAUAGAAAUGACAAAUUUGUCUGAACAGAUUAAAAAAGGAUGUAAUCCUUCAUUAGUGAUAUUGGCAAAAACUAUCAAAUCAUUGAAAUAUUAUAAACAAAAUGAUAAAGCAUGCUUGCUGGGUUGCACACCAUUACUGUAUAUGUGGAUAAAAAGCCAUUUCAAAUGUAAAAAGAGUGCUUUCUUCAAACUCUAUCUUCAUAAUCAAAAUCCAAUCAAUGAGUUUUUAUGAAAGUGAAUGGCCAGAAGCAAAGGCCAAAGAAGAAUGAGAGUAUUUGUUACAGAAGUUCACAACUUAUCAGGUGAAAUGGUUAGUCCUUAUGGAUGAAUCAAAAACCUAUACUAUAUCAAUGUAAAGAUGAAAUAGAGGCUCCACUUUUAGGCUUAUUAGGGUAAAUAAGCUAUACACUACUAAAAAAUAGUAUGGAACUAAAUAAUUCAUUCUUAUGACACACAAGCUUAACUAGUUUGAUUACUUAUAUGGAAGCCUAAGACAUUUUAGAAGAUUGAUAGCAUGAUCAAAGCCUAGAAGAAACCCAAAAGAGUGAGUCUUAAGUCAUUUAUUGACAAAGUCACUCAAGAAUAUUUGGUGUGAAAAGCCAAAAGGGGUAAAGAGGUUAUGCUUACUCUCAAAUAUUAUUGCCAGUCAGUAAAUCAAAAGUUAGAUAAGAUACCUUCAUAGUUAGAAUUUACAAGGAAAGAAUUUAAAGUUGAGAAAGACAAGAUGAAGCAAGAGAUUCAAAGGCUUUAAAAAAAAUAGCAAUAAAAAGACAAAGUAGAAAAGCUGGAAGUCAUAAUCCAAAAGAUCUCUAAAGAGUAUGAUACAAUAGUUUAUGAUUUAGCUAAACUUCAUCAACAACAUAAGAAGUUGAAAACUAUAAUUGAAGCUCAAAAAGUUGUUAGGAAAUGUAACAAUGCCCUUAAGGAAUUAAUGAAGUUGCAUCAAGAACAUGAAAGUCUAUGCAUCUAAGUGAAUGACAAAGAAAUAAAUAUCACUGAUUUGAUUUGUGAUAAUGAAAAUUUAAAGAGAAAAUAUUCCCAGAUAAAGGAUGAAUGUGUUGAAGCCUAAAAGGAGAAUGAGAUGCUUAAAGGGUAUAUUCAAACAUUAAAGCAAAAACUAACUAAACAAAUGGAUCAUAUCGUGGCACUCACAAAAGAGCAUAAGGAGCUAACCUACCAAGCAUGGUUUGACAAAAGAGAAAAUUUGAGAAGACAAAAGUACAUAGAACCCCUUGUGACUUAGAUAAGCAAAGUAGUGAUUGAGGCAGAAGAAAUGGUUAAAAAGGUUAAGGAGUUAAGAACAGUGGUCGCACCAAUAAAAAAACAUAUACAACAUCUGUUAAACUUUAUUGAAGAGGCAAAUAUCAAUAUGAGCAUAUUAAAUGUUUUUACAAGUGAAGAAUAAUAGACUCAGUGUAAAAUAGACUUUUGUUGAAUAAAUGAAAGUUUACUUUUGUUGAAAAUUUUUAAAAGGGUAAAUAUUUUUUUUUCUUUCUUUUUCAUGCAUUGCAUUCAUUCAUUUAGAAUUAAUUUUUAAUCAUUUUAGUUCAUAAUAAAACCACUAAUUUAAGAUUGUGGUACACAAAAUUCAAGAAUAGCUCAACACCAAUAUAACACUCAAGCCCAAGCUCAAAAAAUGGAAUAAGACAAUGCAAACCAUGUUGAAAAAUUAAAAAAAGCUCAAGAGAAAAUUAAGGGAGAGCUGAGCAAAAUCCUUAAAGCAUUAGGCAAGUUGAGUAAAGGGAAAGCAGUAGAAAAAAAUGUUUCACAUGAUUUUACUAAUCCCUUAUAUCCUUCGAUUUAUGGCCUAUAUCAAGCCUAAUCUACUCAAAGCUUUCCACCACAACAAUUCAUAUUUCCUAUAAGCCACACUUACUUAGAAAUGCCACCUACACCAAGCCAAGGGAAUGUCUAAAGUUACAUCAACCCCUGCCUUUACUAAAAAGGUAGUUAAACUGGUCCAAGUUUCCUAUUUGGACAACUUAAAAGAAAAGUUAAAAUUAAAAAUGAUUAAGGCUUUGAAGGACUCAAAAGCUUAUCAUAAGAUGAACAUGCUUGAAAAAAGAGUUAUGAAAAGUAUUAAUUUUUACAGUUCCAUGAUGCGGCUAGGCUUUGUCUAGUUUCAGAUGUAGUUGUACCAUCAAAAUUUAAGGUUCAUCAUGUAUAUUACAAUGUACUAUCGUAAGAUGGUAGUAUGCGCCAAUAAUGAGAAACUGUUCAUGUAUAUAUUUCAAGAUAGUUUGACUGAUUCUAUUACAAUGUGGUAAGUCCAGUUGGAUAAAACCCGCACUUAAUCAUUAAAAGAGUUGACUCAUUUUUUUAUCAACCAGUACUGCUAUAUCAUAGAUCUAGCUCUUGAUUAUUUUUUUUUUAUAAAAUAUGAAAAUGAAGGCGAUGAAAUCAUUUAAGAAAUAUGCCCAAAGAUAGUGUGACAUAGUUGCUUAGGUCCAAUCACCCUUAAUUGAAAAGAAGACAAUGAUUUUGUUUGUGAGCACUCUAAAGUUACCAUAUUAUGAGAAGAUGAUAGGAAAUUACGACUAAAAAUUUUGCUAAUAUAGUGAUUUUAGACGAGAUCAUUGAAAAUGCCAUUAAGAUUGGCAAGCUUGAGAGAGGAAAGUUUUUCACUACCAAGAGAAUGCCCAAGAAAAAAAAAUGAAACUAAAGCUGUGAGUUUUAAAUGGCAACAAUUCAAGAACUAUACUUGUUAUGCAUAAUCCAUUUACCCUACAUACUACCCAAUUAUAAAUAAUGCUUUAGCUUUCUCAUACCAACCAGUUCCACAACCCUCUUAUCCACUCAUUUAUCAACCAAUAUUCAAAUCAUAUACCAACAAAUACAACCCUAAUGCCUCACCUACUGCAAAACUCUUUAUGCGUCUAUCCAACUUAACAAGUUGUCCAAAUCAACCAUGAAACAAUCAAGAAAAGUCGACUUUCAAUCCCAUUCCUAUGACUUAUACAAAACUAUAUCGAGAACUUUACAAUAAUUAUUUAAUUGCUCCUCUUUAUAUAAAAUCACUUAAGUCCCCUUAUCCCAAAUGGUACAAUUUCGUUGUUCAUUAUGAUUACCAUUACAAAAUUGCAGGCCAUUCUACUAAAAAUUGCACCACUUUGAAACAUAAAGUGUAAAAUAUAAUCAAAGAUGGGUUGAUUAAUUUUGGUACCAGUGAAAAAACAACACCAAUAUCAGUGGUAAUUCAUUGUCCAAUCAUACAAUAAAUGAUUUAAAUGAGAACAGGGAACAUUGUAUAAAGAGGAGAGUAAUAAAGAUUAAGAUUCCAUUCAGUUAAUUAUAUGAUGCUCUAUAUGAGGUUGUGAUGGUACAACCAAUGAACCCACGCACUUAUCGUGAAAGAUACAUCUUAAACCAAAUGUGUGAGUACCAUAGUGGGGCUCCAUGUCAUUCUAUUAAAAGUUGUAACAAUUCUAUAAAGAGAUACAUAAGUUGAUGGAUUCUUAUUAAAUUAAGUUGUGUAAGAAGGAAAAAAUUUUAAAAAGUACUGAAGUGUCUAUUACUAAUAAGUCAAAAUGGGUGUCAAAGCUAAUAACCAUUUAUUGUGCCGAAAAGCCAAAAUCAACUAUAGAUAAGCUUAUCCCUAAGCCAAUGACCUUCAAAGUCCUAUGUCAUUUCCUCAUAAGGAUGAAAAGGCCAUGCCAUAGAGGUAUGGUUGUGAAAUGAUAGUUUAAAGGUAGAAGGAGACCACGCCAAGCUAAAUGCUACCAACAUAACUAGUUUUGGUGGAAUAACCAAGAGUGAAAGAUAUUAUACUCUGAAUAUGAUGGAAAGGGUAAGAAAGAGAAAGCAACAAUGAUGAAAAAGUAGGUUAAGCUUGAGCUAAUCCUAAAAGAAGACAAUUUAAGACCAAUGUCUAAAAAAAAAACUUGUGAGUUCUUAAAGUUGGUAAAACACAAUAGGUAUACUGUGGUGGAACAAUUAAACCAGAUGCUAGCUAGUAUUUCUUUGUUAUCACUAUUACUGAAUUUAAGACCACAUCACAAUGCUUUAUUAAAUAUGUUAAAUUAGAUUUAUGUGACGCAUAAUAUGUAAGUAGAGUAUGUGAAUCAUUUGACAGAAAAUCUAGUGGUACUACAUUAUAUAGCCUUUAGUGAUAAUAAAAUCCUACUAAAGGGAAAAAUAAGCAUAUAGGUUUUGCAUAUUAUUGUUAAAUGUAAAAGUCAUAUUAUAGUUAAGAUACUUAUUGACAAUGGCUCUGCUAUUAAUAUUACACCUACGUCCAUCUUAGCAAGGUUGUCCAUUGAUAUGUCUCAUAUAAAAAUAGUUAUAUUAUUGCCCGAACGUUUGAUAAGACUAAGUGUUAGGUAUUAAGAGACAUUGAAAUGCCUUUACAGAUUGGGCCUUGUACAUUCAAUGUAAAAUUUUAGAUUAUAAAUAUCUUCCCUUCUUAUUAUUAUUUAUUGGGUAGGUCAUGGAUUCACAUGAAAUGUGUUGUUCCAUCCUCCUUAUACUAGAAAGCCAAGUUUCAUGUGAAUGGGCAACUUGUGAUCGUAGCUAAAAAAAAAAAAAUUAUUAGUGACUUAACCUACGAAUGCUCUCUAUUUAGAAGCUACAAAAGAAUCAUUAAAAUGUUUUUAUCAAUCCUUUGAGCUUGUUAAUACUGUAAGUGAGGGGCCUAAAUUAUACCAACCAAACUUCACUAAGAUCGUGGUUAGUUAAAUUAUCAAUAAAGGUUGGUAUCCUAGAGUUAGGCUAAGUAAAAUACUAUAAGGAAUGAAGAAGUCACCAAUUAUAACAAAUAAUAAUGAAAGAUUGGGCCUAGGAUAUGAGGUUAAGGAAUGGGAACUGAAGAGGAUGCAAAACAACAAAAGAAUAAGAAAGAUGGCAAGAAGCAUGCCAAUGGUCAUUAUGCACUUGUAUGAAACCUUUAGGCUAUGAGCAUAUUUGUAUCUAAGGUAAGAAAGUUGUUGAGAAAAUUUGAGCAUAAAUGAAACUUUUGUCAAAUUACCCAUCUAGAUGGUAGGCGAAGAAGAUACAAAAGUCCAAGAAGAAGAGGUAUUGGUCUAUCCAUGUCUACCAAGCUUUGAACUAAAGAGUUAGAGUGUCAUCGAGAUGUCUAUUAUCUUUGAUACCCAUCAAAUGUAAUUAUAACUCUUAAUUGCUUAUGUCGAAAAGCAUUGGGAUGAUCUUUCAUAUCUGGGUUACUUAUCAUUUAUUAUUUCCAUAAAAGAGUAAGAGUAUACAUUUUCAUUCAUUUAUUCUAUUAUUUUUAAUUUCCAUUUUUCUUCCAAUCAAAGCAUUUCACUAAUACUUCUUAUUUCAUUUAAUUUUAAGUCUGCGAAUAAAUAUGAAGAAAACCAUGAUAACAAUUAAGGAUUUAAUUUUGAAAAUUUAAUUAAUGCUAAUGAACUUGACACUGAAGAUGACUUUGAAUAAUACACUUUGCUUCCAAACCUAAUGAGAACAAGAGAAAAAAUCUAUUAAACCUCAUCAAAAAGUCACUAAGAUGAUAAAUUUAAGGGAUGAUGAGAACAAGAAGAAAGUUAAGGUCGGCACAUCACUUCUAUCGACUGUUAGAUAAAGAUUAGAGGAUUUGUUUCAAGAGUAUAUGAAUGUGUUUGCUUGAUUUUAUCAAGAUAUGCCCGAGACUAGCACUAAAAUAGUGAAGCAUAGGUUACCCUUAAAACCUGAAUGUAGACCUGUCUAACAAAAGUUGAGAUGAAUGAAGCCUGAAAUGCUAUUAAAAAUUAAAUAAAAGGUAAAUAAAUAAUUUCAUACAGGCAUUCUAUAAGUGGUCAAAUAUUCAAAAUGGGUAGCUAAUAUAGUAUCUAUUCCUAAGAAAUAUGAUAAGGUAUAAAUGUGCAUUGAUUAUCACUAUUUGAAUAGAGCUAGCUCGAAGGAUAAUUUUUCUUUAUCUUACAUUGACACAUUGAUGGAUAACACAGCCUGACACUCUAUAUUCUUUUUUAUAAAUGGAUUCUCAAGAUAUAAUUAAAUAAAGAUGACCGUAGAUGACAUAGAAAAAAUCAUUUUUGUAACCAUGUAGGUUACUUUUUGUUACAAGGUUAUGCCUUUUGGACUAAAAAAUAUUAUGUACCUUAUCAAAAGGCUAUAAUGAUACUUUUCCAUGACAUGAUGCAUAGAGAGAUUGAGAUGUGUGUGGAUAAUAUGAUCACAAAAUCUUAUGAAAGAGAAGAUUAUAUAGCUAACCUCAAGAAUUUAUUUGAAAGAUUAAGAAAAUUUCAGCUCAAGUUAAAUCCAUCCAAAUAUACAUUUAAAACUAAGUUAAGAAAGUUCUUGGGCUUUGUGGUUAGUGAAAAAGGGAUUGAAGUUGAUCUUGACAAGAUACAUGCCAUCAAGAAUCUAUGUCCUCCAAGCACAUCGAAGGAAGUCUAAAAUUUUCUAGGUAGAUUGAAUUACAUCGCUUAGUUCAUUUCCCAACUUACCUCUAAAUGUGAUCACAUUUUUAAACUCCUUCGAAAGAAAAAUCUUAGAAAAUGGAAUGAAGAUUGUCAAAAGGCUUUUAAUAUGGUUAAAUAGUACUUGUUAAAUCCUUCAAUGCUAGUACUAUUUGUUUUAGAGAGACUGCUAAUUUUGUAUUUGAUUGUACAUAAGAAGUCAAUGGAAUGUGUGCUAGGGCAGCAAGAUAAGUCCAGUAAAAAGGAAAAAGCUAUUUAAUACUUGAGAAGAAAUUCACAAAAUAUGAGUCCAAGUAUUCAUCAUUAGAAAAAAAUGUGUUAUGUUUUGGCUUUGACAACUAAAAGACUCAGGUAGUAUAUACUCUACCAUAUCACUUGGCUUAUAGCCAAAUUAGACCCAAUGAAAUACAUCUUCGAAAAACCAUCAUUGUUUAAAAUAAUUGCAAGAUAGCAAGUAAUGCUCUUGGAAUAUAAUAUUAUGUAUGUAAGCCAAAAAACAAUCAAGGGAAGUGCCAUAGUAGAAUUUUUGUAUAGAUCGUGCAAUUGAAAACUAUGAGCCAAUGAAACUUCAUUUUUUGAAUGAUGAAUUAAUUGUCAUUUCUGAGUUGAAUGAGAAAAAUGAUAAUGAGAAAUCUUAGAAAAUGUACUUCGAUGGGGUUAUUAAUGCCUUGGAAUUGGGGUAAUUCUGAUAUCUCCUAAAAGACAUUCUUAUCCCAUUACAACAAGGUUGAACUUCAAUUGCACUGAUAAUAUGGCAAAAUACGAUACCUAUGUUAUGGGUUUGCAAAUAGCCAUAGAUAGAAAAUUAAGAUACUGAAGGUGUUUAGAGAUUCAGCUUUAGUCAUUUAUCAAUUAAAAGGAGAAUGGUAAGAAAUUCAAAGCUUAUCCAAUAUCAUAAAUACAUUUCAGAACUAUUCAAACAGUUUGAGGAAGUUCAUUUUGAACAUUUGCCCUAUGAAAAGAAUCAAAUUGUAAAUGCCUUUACUACUAUGGUAGUGAUGAUUUGGGUUGAUAACAAUACCGAGAUUCAACCUAUUAAGUUAGAUAUCAAAGUUAUACCGAUAUAUUACACCAAUAUGGAAGAGAAAAAAGAUAGAAAGCCUUGGUAUUAUGAUAUCCUACAAUACUUAAAAAAUCAACAAUAUCCAAAUUAAGCGACAAAGAACGACAAAAAAAUCCUAAGGAGAUUGGUUAUGAGAUUCUUUUUAGAUUGAGACGUUCUCUAUAAAAGAAGCUGAGAUCAAGUAAAGAAGUCUUUUUUUAUUAAGCCUUUGUUUAGAAAAGUUAUUUAAAAUUUUUAAUUUUUUUGCCUUUGUUUAGAAAAAUUCUUUAAAAUUUUUCAAAAGUUGUAUGCAUUUGUUUAGAGGAUUUUUUAAAAAUUGCUUGAGUUGAAUUGAAUAAAAUGAUUGUCUAUGUCUUUACAUCAUUUAUUUUUCACUAAAAUGUGUAAAAAAAAGACAAUUGUAGAAACUCCAUUUUGUCCAAAGCUUGUAAUUGAAUUUUGGUUUAGGUUUCAUCUAGAUUAUUAGGCUUUCAAGGUGCCUAUUAAGUUUUUAAAUUGAUGUGGAAUAAUCGGGCCUUAAAUUGAUUUUGGGUUUUAAGCCUAGCAUAUGGUUCUUUUGGUGUCUGGGCUAAGAGCCCAUCAUAUAAUUGCAUUUUUUUUAUUUUACCGCCUUAAUAAAAAUUAAACAAAUAAAAAAAAAAGAAAUAAAAUCAAUAAUUUUUUUGAAACAAAUUAGAAAAUCAUUCACCAGAAUCAAACGAGAAAUUAGAACCCCAAGAAUCAAGUCACAAUUUGGAUCGAAUUUAGUUAUGACAGAUUUGAUCUUUGAUAAUGAAACCCUCAAAUUUCUAAUGAAAAAAUCCUAUAUAAAUAGUGCCUAAACCUAUAAAAAAGACACAGAGAGAAUAGAGACUAUUUGGGGCUUUUCGGGUGUCCGUUAUUAUUUGGGGCGUGGGGGGUGGAACGGUUUGAGGGGUUGUUCCGCUGCUGGUUUGGCGAAGGGAACGAGCGUUUUCAGUUGGUGGGUGGUGAGAGACGGGAAAUGGGAAAUGGGUUACAAUAUGGGGUUGUUGGUAGUGGGUGGCGAGAAGCAACGGUGAGGUUAGGGGCUAAACAGUAGCUUAGGAUUUUUUGCCAAUUUUUGCUGUGUAUUGCCCUCCUUAGCCAUGUGUCUCCUGCUUUUUGUUGGUGAUUUUUUUUUUUUUUGGUGUUUUGUAGAACGAACCUUUUGAUAAAAAGACAUAGGGAUUCAAUUUUUUUAGAGUCUACUUGCAGCAUUCUUUCUGUUGAUUUUUGGGGUCUUAGGCUACUGCAUUAUUUUGGUUCAAGAGCUUGGGAGGUUUUCGUGCUAAGUUGUCAAAGGUGAAAUGGGGAGCUCAAAAUGGUCAGCUGAAAGUGGGAAGCAAUUGUGGGAGAAAAGGCAUGAGGGGGCUGCCAGCCCUCUUUUUUUUUUUUUUUAAUGAAUUUUCUUUUUUAUUAAUGUAAUUUUGUUAAUUUAAUUAAUUUUAAUAAAAUGAAAUUGGUCUUUUAAGUUUAAUUUGGUUUGGGAAUUGGGCUUUAGACUUUUAUUGAACCUUUAAACUUUAGUGAUUGAAUUUUGAGUUGAUUUAAAAUUGAAUUAAAUUGAACUAUAGAAAUAUAAAAUAAUCUAAAAAUGAUUAAUUUAAAAUAAAUUUGAACGAAUUUAAUUUAAUUUAAUUAAAAAUACUUAAAUUAGUCUAAAUUAAAAUAUUAAAAUUAAGUUUUAAAAUUGAAUAAAUUUAAAUUAAUUUAGAUAAAAAUAGGUGUUUAUAUAAGUGGAUCUCUUUAUAUGUAUAAAGAGAGAGAGAAUGGAAGAAUUCACAUAUAUUGAUGUCAGUAUUAAAUUUUUUUUUAAUCUUUAAAUCACAAUGAUUAAAUUUAAAAAUUAUGAAUUUAAUUUUGACUUAAAAAUAAAAAAUUUAUAAAUAGAACUUUACAUUUACUUUCAAGUUUCAACGGUUCUAUUUAUGUGGACUAGAGUAUGUUUGUACGAUAAUAUUUUAAUAGCAAUGUCAAAUUAAAUGCUAUUAAUUGAAUUUGUAAUUGAAACAACUAUUAAAAGAAGAAAAUUCUUUUAAAAAAUUUAGACUCUAUUGCAUUUCAAUCAACGUGACAUCACUGUUGGUCAAAAUAGUUGAUUUAUAAUUUAUGUGGAGCCCAAUUAAAUUCUGUUGGGCGCAUUUUUCAUUGUUCUUCUCGAUGCAAAUACCAAGAAUAUUUUCAAUAUUUUUAUUUUGAAAAAUUACAUUAUAUUAUUAUUUAUCAAACACAUUUUCACUGAAAAAGAAAAUAAAAAAUUAAAAAUUAAAAUAUUAUUUAAACCAAACAUAGUUUCAUUUAACAACACUUUUUGAAUUUCAUAAAUAGAGUUAAGUAUGAGAAAUUAAUUUUAAAUUCAAUAAAUGAGAUAAUUUUUCAAUGAAGAUAUAUGUUAGGGAAAGAAAAUUUUAAAGUCCGUUAUUAGAAUACAAGUAUUGAAAAACAAUAAAAAAAACCUUGUGUUAAUAGUUUUGUAGUUUGAUGGUAGAAUAUUAAGAUUUUAAAAAUUAUUAUGAUAAUUUAUUUAUUAAUAGAAUAUUAAAUUUUUAAAAAUCAUCAUGAUAAUUUAAUUAUUAUUAAAAUUAUUUUAUAAUUGAUUAUUUGGAAUCACUUUUUUUGUUAAUGGUAAUUAAUUUUUAAAACUUAAAUUAUUAUGUUUGAUAUUAUUCAAAAUUAAAUAUUAUUUUAUUUAAAAAUAUUAAAAUAAUUAUAUUAUCAUAGCACACAAGUAAUAAUUUCAAUAUUAUUUAAAUUAAUAUAACAAUUUAUAAAAUAUUAAUAAUAUUUUAUUUACUUGACAAUAAAAUAUAAAUAUAUUUAUUAAUAAAUUAAUUAAUUUUUAGGAUAAAAUUACAUGACAAUAUUUAAAUUAAAAAAUUAAAUUAAAUUUAUCACUAUCAAAGUUUAGUGUAAUAUCAAUUAAAUAUUUUUGUCGAUAAUUAUUGAUGAAUUGUCGAUAGAAUUUAUCGGACAUUAAUUCGUCCGUAAUCUAUGGGGAAAUAGUUGGAGGGGAAAUGAAAAAGUUGGCGUUAAAGUUAUGUAGAAAAAUUUCCAACCAUAGAGAUGCUGACAAUUGUUUCACUGACGGGCCAUUGACAAAAUUUUUUUGUCGAUAAAAAAUUUUCAAAAAAUAAUUUUUUUUUAAAUCGUAUUUUUAAAAUUUUUUAAAAUUAAAAUUUUAAUAAUUUUCAACGGAUUUUUGGGCAAUUCCACGGUAAAUUACUAAAAGAAUAAAACCCUAAAAUUUUCCCUCAUUUCUCAUUUCCUUUCUCGUUCCCUUCUCCCCAAAUUGUCUGGCGUUGCCCCUACCCCCACUCCUCUUCACGCCCUUGUCUGCGCCACCCCUACUUGCACUCACGCCCCUGCGCAAGCUAUGAACCCUCUCCUGUCCAACCCCCCCCCCCCCUGCGAGCUGCGAGACACCGCCAGCCCCGCUUGCACUGGUGCCCCUACGCGAGUUGCUCCCUCUCUUGUCCGACCCACCCCAUGCAAUCUGCUUAAUGAAAAAUCGAGAGAGAUGAUCAAUUUAUUGUUGAUCUCAUCUAAAUGAAACAACAGUUGUCGAAUAUCACAAAAUAACUAUUUUGCCUCUAAAUGAAAAAUCUCAAAAGUUUUUGGGUUUGAGUUUUGGGUUAAAAUUUUGAGAACUUGACUAAUUUGAAAAGAUCUUGUCGGCCGGGAGUUUAAGCCCAAAGCUUCUAAAAGAUGAAUUGCCCCAUAAUGAUUAAUAUCCUAAUUUUUUUACAUUUACUAUUUGUAUUUAAAAUUUUGGGGCUAAAUCCAAUAAUAAAUUAAAUAUUUAUUAGCACUUUUUUAUUUAAUUUUUAUAUUUGAAUUGAAUUUAUAAUUUACUUUUAUAAAUAAAAGAAUAAGAAUAAAAAAUAAUAUAAAAUUUAUUAAAUAUAGUAAUGAUAUAAAAACUAUUUAUAAAAACUCUUUUUCGUUAAAAGAGUUUGAUAACAUAAAAUUAAUAUAUUUAUAUACCAUAAAUAAAAAAUGUAUUUUUACACCAUAAAUAAUAAUAUAUGUUAAGCUAUAUAUUAAUAUUAAAUAUUUCAAAAGAAUACAUAAAUCAAACAUUCAAAUCCAUUUAUAUUAUGUAAUUUGUUAAUAAUUAAUUUUCGUAUAUUUAAUUAUUAUAAUUAACAAAAUAUAAUUAUGUUAAUAUAAAUACAUGUAUUAAAAUAUACAAAAAAUAAGUUUAUUUAAAUAAACAAUUAUUAUUUAACACAAUUUAAUUUAAAUUUUUAUUUUAAAAUUAAUUUAAUGAAAAUUUUAUAAAUAUUAAAAAAAUCUCUUAAUGAGGCGAGGGGCAAUAAUUAGUAAUAUUGAUUGUUUUUUUUUUUUUUUAAUGUUAUAGCAAUUUGAAUAUUUUGCUUUAUCUUAAAGUUAAGAUAAAUAAUAUAUCGGGACACCAAUAAAUUGAGUUUCAUUUAGAUGAAUGAUGAAAUUUAAAAUAAUAGUGAUAGUGAGAUUAAAUAAAAAUAAAUAUUAUAACAAUAAAAUUAAAAUUUGUGAUGAAUAUAUAUGAUUUGGUUACAAAUGUAUUAAUAAUGACAUGAAACAUUAACACAUCUUACAAUUUGGGUUGAAAUUAAGGAAGAUUUAUCUAAAAGUAAGAUAAGUCUAUCUUUGAUCCAAAUUCAUUAAACAAAUGCAGAAAUAAAAUGGGUUAGAAUAAAAAGAUUGUAUUCACACUAACUAAAAAAAGAGAGCAUGAAGAUGUAUAUGAUUAUGGUCAAAUUCAUAUAUGAACCACGAAAUUAUCAUAACAUAUAAAUAUAAAAAUUUAUAGCUAGACUUAACAAAAGUAGUCGUCACCAAUCUUUUUUAACUAGAUGUGAUUGAUCAUCUAAGGAAUCUAUUAUUUUAAAGAGCUCAUAAGCUUGACUAAGAGUCUCUAAAAGAAUAAGUCGGGUCUACUAACUAGAACAAGAUUCGGGAGUUCGAUUACAUAUGAGAAAGGUUAUAGCACCUCGACAUACCUAUCCAAAAAAAUGAUACCAUUUUAUUUUAAAUUUAUUCUACAAUCUUGAUUCUACUGAUUUUAAGAUUUAAUGUUUAAAUAUUGAAAAUAAUUUUUAAGAUUCUCUAUCAAUCUGGUAAAAUUCUUAAAAAUAUUUUCUCACCUCAAGAAUAUCCAAGAAUUCUAUUUGUUUUCUUAAUGAAGCUCCAUCAUCGGAAAAAAGAUUUAAUUAUUAUUUUUUUAUUUUAGUUUUUUUAUUGAAAAAAUGUCUAAUUAUUCUACUAUUUAGGCCAAAUUAAAAAUAUCUUCUAAUUUUUAAUUUCUAAAUUUAUACAAUUUGGACCUAUUUAGAAAAAAUUUUUCUUUUUUCUAUUUAGAGAGAAAAUAAUAUGACAAUAAUUUUUUUGAAAUUUCAUUUAAAUUCUUUCACAAUUUCAACAAAUUUAAAGAAAUUUCUCACCUAGAGAUUUCUUAGAAAAUUUAUCAUUUGAAAUUUCUAAGAAUCUCAUCAUUGGAUAAUUGUAACAUAUUUUCAACCAAAAUUUUUUAUUUUUUUAUUUUUUUAUUGAAAAUAAAUAUUAAUUAUAAUUAUUGAAAUUUUAUCUAAAUUAUUUCACCAUUUGGGACAAAUUUUAAAAAAAAUUCACUUAAAAAUUUUAUAAAAACUUAUCAUUUAAAAUUUUUAAAAUUUUAUCAUUAGAUAAUUAUUAUUUAUUCUCAAUUAAUAUAUUUUAUUAAUGUUUUAAUUCAUUUAUCAUUAUUUUAUUUAAUAUUAAAUAAUGAAAAUCAUAAAACAAAGUGAAUAAAUAAACAAUUAUGGAUAAAACAAAUGAAUAAGCAAUCAAUUAAAGAAAAAAAAAAGAACAAGUACCAAACAAUUAAAGAAUUUAUAAAAAAAAAAAAAGCUAAAUAAAAGUAAAAAAAGAUACCAAAGUUGACGUAAACCUCUAGGAUGAAAUUCCAUAAAACCAAUGUCCUAAUCUAUCACGUGACAUUUGCCUUUAGGCACCAUGUUUCUUCACCCCAAUUUUAUUUCUUGUACUUUUUAGCAAAACCAACAAGAUCAAUGUCUCUUUAAUCCGCAACAACUUUAAAAUAUUCCUUCUUGAAGCACUGAUCACUACUGUAGAAAUAACCUUCUCAGUUUCUCCUUUUUCUUUUCUUUUUCUCCAGAAUCCUUUCCAGAUCAACCACCCUAGAUUUUCAAGCUUCUACUGGUUUCAAUCAAUACUGCCAUCGUGCACUGCCACCAAUUAUCGAAGACUGUCCCUAGUUUCGACUGAGUGUUUGAUCUGUGAUCUUUCCUUCUGUGUUUCUCUCUGUGUUUUUUGUGUGAUCAAUGUGUAAAUUUAUAAGGAGCAGAUUGAAAAUUUCCAAAUUAACCAUGACUCCUUUUGACAAGAUUUCUACAUUAUCACAUAAAAUUCAUCCCACAAAAAUUAAAUCCAUCUAUAACUCUACCAACACCCAUUCAAGGUAGCAUUUGCCUUUUUUUAUUUUUUUUUACCUUUUUAUUAUUAAAUUUGUUAUCUCUUAAAAAUCAAAGAUAAAUAAAAACAAAUAAUCGGAUAAUCAACAGAAAGAUAAAACCUUAAAUAAAUAAAAAUAUAUAACAAAAAGUAAUUGGGCCUACAAAAUUGCCUCUAUCAGGCCAAGCCCAAUAAGUUUGGAUCUAAAUCAAAUAGAGUGUCUACAGUUGUCCCUCUUUGCGCAUUUCUUGUGCAACAAGAAUUAUGUAAAAACAUAAAACUUUUCAUGUCCAAAUAAUCAUCCUAACAUUUUUUUUUGUUUUAUUAUUUUAAUUAGACACUCAAGCUAGCUAAAUGACACAAAACUCUCAUAAAUAGAGGCUCAUAACUUUUGGAAAAAUAAAUACAAAUCCUCUAAACAGAGGUUCAAUGACUUCUAAAAAUAAAUAAAGCUCCUCCAAUCAAAGAUUCAAUGACUUCUGAAAAUAAAUAAAGCUCCUCUAAUUAGAGGUUCGAUAAAUUUGAAAAUACAUAAAGCUCCUUUACAAUCUCCUCUAGAGGAGUCAUAGAUUGUGUCUAAUGAAAUUUGUAAUGGAAACUUAAAUAUUCAUAAUUUGAGUUCAAAAUUCAAAGGUUCGUAAUUCAAAAAUUCUCGAGAAUCCAAAUUCACAAGAACCUUUCAACUUCACAAGAAUUCACCAAAAUUUGAUUAUCAAAAUUUUAGUUUAACAAGAAUUUGAUUCAUAAAAUUUCAGAUACGUAAGAUUUUUCAACUUCGCAAGAAUUCAGAUUCAUAAAAUUUCAAGAUUCGCAUUUGUGAGAUUCACAUUCAAAAUUUUAAUUUAGGGAUUCGUAUGCAAAUUAAAGCCACAUCCAACAUUUAAAGAUUCAAAUUUUGGAGGUCACAUUCGAAUUCUGAAGAUUCACACCCAAAAGAUUUUUUUUUUUUUAAAUUUUGAGGGAUUCACUUCCUAGAUUUCAAAAAUUUUGAUUCAAAAUUUCUUAUUUAAAAACUUUAGGAUUUCAUCCAAAAUUUCAAACUCUUUAUUCUACUUCAAGAUUCACAUUCAAUAAAUCUUAAAGCUUCACAUCUAAGUUCAAAAGUUCACAUUCAACAAAUAAAAGGUUCACAUCCAAAAAGUUUAAAGCUUUUCAAAGAUUCACAUUCGAAUUAUUUUUAAGUUUCUCAUUCACAAAUUUAGAGAUUCGCAUCCAAAAGUUCAAAGCUUCUUAUUCUAGUUGAAGAUUCACAUUUGAUGAAUUUUAGGGUUUCACAUCUCAAAGAUUCUCAUUUGAAACUCAAAGAUUCUCAUAUGAAAACUCAAAUAUUCUCAUUUCAUACUCAAAGAUUUUCAAAGAUACUUAUUUGAAAACUCAAAGAUUCUCAUUUAAAAACUUAAAGAUUCUCAAAAAUUCUCAUUUGAAAACUCAAAGAUUCUUAUUUAAAAAUAAAAUAUUCUCAUUUGAAAACUCAAAGUUUCUUGUUUGAAAACUCAAAGUUUUAUCUUAAGAGACUUCAUCAAAAGAUUCAAAAUUUUUCAAAUGGCUUUCAAACUUUUAUCAAAGUCAAAAUUUUGGAUAUAAUGAAUAUCAUGAUCAAUGAUGCAAAUGCAACAAUUUGGAUUCUCAUAGUAAUGUAGAUGCCAUGCUUUAGGUCAUAAUUCAAAUGUUUGUUGGCUAAUGCAUGUUCAAACAAAGUUUUAAAUAUUCACCAAAUUAUAUGCAUGUAUUGUUCAAACAAUGAUGUAAACAUAAUGCAUGUGAUGCAGAUACAUGUUAUAGAAUUCUAAUUAAUUGUGGUAAUAUGGUUCUCAAGACUAUUCCAUCCCAUAUUUUUCUUUUUUAGUUGCUUAGCAUUAGUUAUCCCAAAAUAAAAUUUUUCAACUGAUCCACAUCAUUUGUAUCAUUUGAUUGCAAUUCACAGGCUUUUCAACACUAGUAAUUUUAGCAUAAAUUUCUUCUAUUGAUCUAUACUAUUUUCAUCACAACUCACAAGCUUCCUAGAACUAACCAUUUCAGAACAAAUUUCAUCUACAUUAUUUUCAUUAUUUUAUCAUAACUCACAAGUUAUGUCAACCAAUCCAUCACUAUAUUCAUCACUUGGUCAUCCCAGAUGCCUUUCCAAAUCAUUUUUUUAGGUUUAUGUCAUCUUUUCAUUUUUUUUUGCCCUUAUCAUCUUAGAUUUCUUUUUAAAGGAAUACAAAAAUCUUUCAUGAACAUCAUCAUUCAUUAUCAUUUCAAUCAUGACAAAUAUAAUGUAAUCAUACAUUUUUUUAUUUAUUCUAAGGAUGCAAAAAUAAGAGAACGGUGAAUUGAAAAAAAGGUAAUCAAUGAAAAGCAAGUCUAGUACAAAAAUAAAUGGGCAAAUGAACAAGUUCAAAACAUGUCAUUAGGAUAAAUGGUAUUGAAUGGCACCAUAAUGUCCAAACAAUGAAUACUUAGACAAUUUAUAACAUUAAUCCAGAAUUGUUUUUCAAAAAACUCAUUCCCUUAACUUUCAAAAUCAUAUUACCUUAUUGAACCUUACUCUAGCUUUAAGAGAUCCUCAGAUGUCUUUGAUCUUUUAUAUAUUAGAACUGUUCAUCCAACUUUCAGCUCAGAUAUUUUUCUACCCAAAUUAUCCUUUCGAAUUUUUAAUUUGAAUCUUUUUUUUCUCUACUUUUACAUUUUUUCUUUUUUUUCAUUCAUUAUUGAUAUCUUUCAUACAUUAAUCUCUAAAACAUGCAGCAUGAUUCCAUGGUUUCACCAUAAGCAUGCCUUAAUCUAAUACAUGAUCAUUCAAUUUGAGCAUUUACAUUUGAUCAAAAUAGACUUUUAAAGGCUGUAAUGUAGGUUAUGAUGAUGGGUCACCAAAAAAAUGGAUAAAAUAGGCCCAAAUCACAUGUUUAAAAGGUCCAAACUAAAGGAUCAUUUUCAUCAUAUGCUGCAACUUGGUAUUUUGCCCCACAUCAUUUUUUUACUUUUUUUAUUCAUCUUAUUCCUCACAAAAUGAAUCUCAUUAUUUUGCCUCAAUUCAUUUAUGGUAUUCAUUUUUUUUUUUUGUAAAAAGGUUUUCUUUCCUUUUUUUUUUUUAACUCUACUUUGAGACUUUUUAAGAUUUUUUGCUUUUUUUCUUGUUCAAGCAUAUUUUUCUCAAUUUUCCCCCUAGUGUAAGGGAUGAUCCUUGGUUGGGGUUAUUCAAAAUAUAUAUAUAUAAUAGGCUCAAAAGAGAUAGUAAUGGAUGAUUUUUUGAAUGGUAAAAGAAAUAUGAUUAUUUUUUUAUGAUUAUUUUUUUAUCUCAAACGUGAAUGUUUUCCUUGAUAAUCACAUAUUGAACAAAAACAAACUCAUGGUUCUAUAUAAAGGAUUGCAUAUCUUCAAGACAUAUCUAUUUCACAUCUGCCAGUAGCUUACUUUUUUUUUUUGUUCAAAUAGUCCCCACAUAUUGAACUUUAUUAAUUUGAAUGAAUUUUCAAACUUAAAUCCAAAAAUCAUUGUUAUCAUUGUCUAAACAUUCAUCAUUUAAAAUUUGAGAAUGGGAAUAAAAAGAUAAGGCAAAUAGCAAAGCAUAGAAUAAUGGCUUGGAUGAAAGAGAAAAUGUAAUGAAAUACAUCAACUUGUCUUUUAUUAAAAUGAUAACAAAUGAAAUCUUACUUUUUGAAAGAAUUCCUAGCGUUACUUUAAAAGAAAUCUUAAAAUGACACGUAACUUCCAACUAUCCUUAACAUCCUUAUCAAAAUUAUGCCCUUGUGCAAUCAGGUGAAAGAUUUUUAUUGACAUCUUGUCCCUUAAUUCAUCAAGCUCACUAAGCUUUUUUGGAUCAAACUUUACAUUUUGUGUUUGAAAGUAGGGUAGGUUUUAAUAGAAUGACCCAUGUUUCUAUUAUGAUAUCGCAUUAGCACUUUGGAUAUGGUGGCUUCAAUAGUUUUAGAAUAACUGGAGAUACUAAGUUGUCUUGACCAGUUCUAGGAAUAACUUAGUGUAAGUCAUGGGGAUAAGAUCAACAUGCACCAUUUUUUUGGUUAUCUCAAAAUCUCUUUAAACCACUUACUUAGUUGUUAGGCUUUGAAACUGAUGCAGGCACUUAACAGGCUGAUUGGUAGGUUGGUGGGUAAGUUAGUUAUGGAUAUGGUUGGCCAAAAGCUUGCACAAUACCAUUAACUACAAGAUAGUAAAUAAGUUGAACUGGCAGUAGAAAUGAAACAUAACUUUUGUAUUGUUACCCAUCAAAAUUUAUAGCUUGGGCUUUGACUUCUUUCUUUUUAGGCAACCCUCUUUUUUUAGUGGUUUCCCUUUCUUGAAGCUUGCCACUCUUAAUAGCAUUUUCAAUGAUUUCCCUUAAAUUACCAUAUCAGCAAAGUUUUUCAUUACAUUUCUUAUCAUUUUUUCAUAAUAUGAAGAUUUCAAAAUGCUCAUAAACAGUAUUAUGGUCUCUUUCUCAAUCAAAAGUGGCUGAACUUGAGUAGCUAUGUCUCUUCACCUCUGGGCAUACUCCUUAAAUGAUUUAAUCACCUUUUUUUCAUAUUUUACAAAAUAAAUGAUUAAGAGCUGAUCUAUGAUAUAUUGAUAUUGACUAAUAAAGUCAUGAGACAUAUCACUCUAGAAUUGAAUAUGGGUUUCGUCUAACUGGAUAUACUACCUAACAGUAAAAUCAGUAAGAUUAUUUUGGAAUACAUGCAUUAACAACUUCUCAUUAUUAACAGAGGCAACCAUUUUCUAGCAAUACAUGGUGAUAUGAGUUUUUAGGCACUUUACACCAUCAUAUUUUUAAAAUUUUGAUAAUUUAAACUUUGAAGAAAUAACAAUAUCUGGGACUAACAAAGUCCAGUAGAAUCUAUAGAACCAUAAAAACCAAUUCCCUCCACUGCUCGUAACAUUUUCUCUGAUAAAUUCAUCUUCUGUUCAGCUUUUGAGCCUUCUAAAGUUUUUUUUUCUCCUUAGGUUUUAAUUUUUUUUAUCUUUUGGAUUAUCCAAGUUAAGAAUUGAUAUUGGUUUUACUGCCUUCUCAGUAAAGAUAGAAUUUAUAUAACUCUGGUACUAUCUUGGGUUUGAAACUGAUGGUAUUUUAAGAUAUGUAUAUCUUACUAGAUAUGUGAACUAUUGUAAUGGUGGAUUUUAUGUGGAUUGGGCUUGAUACGAUCCAAAACUAUGAGGAUACAGAAGGUCAUCCAUCUCUUAUGAUUGAUGGUCCAACUGGCUAAUAUUUUCUUCUAUUAUUUUUUCUUUGUUUAAGUUAUUCAAAACAUCCAGGAUUUUACUCAACUCGUCUUUAAGCUUCUCUUGAGCUUUCUCUAUCUUCUCGAGAUGAUUAAAAUUUUUUUGUUUCAUUUGUUUGGCUCGAGCUCUUGUAUUAUAUUAGUGAGUUGAUUGUAUGGGAUUCUUGGUUGGUGGAGCUAUCCCUGAACUUUAAAUACCACAAUUAUGAUAAAAAAUAAUAUGCUAUGCUUUAUGUUUAGUAUGUUGAUGCAUAAAAAAAAUAUGCAUUUUCAUGGAUGAAAUCUAAUAUGAAAAUGAUGUAGAUGCACAAUGUUUCGUAUGACAAUGAAAAUGAUGCAUGACAUAAUAAUGCAAAUGUACAAAGUUAAAUAAACAAAAUGGUUAGAUCACAAACCAUUUUUUUCUUAUGUCCUAUAUUCAGGAUACAUCUAUCAACGGGCAAGAAUGGCUCUAUCUUAAAGCUAGCCUCUUAAGUGUACACUAUAUGCAGGGUUAGGUGAUUUUGACCACUAAAGGCUCUCAAAUUAUUUUUUACAUCAUCGUCUAUCAUAGACUAGUAAGGUAUUCCAAUCCUCACCCAUCACAGGCUACCAAUGGAAAUUAUUCAAUUUGAGUAGGAGUAUUUUACUAGCUAUUAUAGAGAUUAUCAUCUCACGAGAACGUAAGUACUUUACUCUCUCUUAAAAAGGAUAGAGCCCGGGUAUAGAGCUCAUAUAAUGAGAAUGCAUGUGAUAGUGUGUAUGAAAGAACAUAUAAUUUUCAACCCUACAUAAAUCAAAUAAAAGAUAAAAAAAAAAUGUUGGUAAACAAAUAUCACAAGCUUUAGACUUUAACAACAUUAGAUCAAAAGAUAGGAUAAAUUUAAAAUUAUUAUAGCCAGACUCUCUAUAGCAUCCUUAGUGGAGUCAUCAAACUGUUAUAACAUAUAGAUUCGUAAAUUUAUAGCUAGAUUUAACAAACAGAGUUGCCAUUAAUCUUUUCUAUCUAUGUGUGAUUGGCCACCUAAGGAAUCUACCUUUUUAAAGAGCUAUUCAGCUUGACUAAGGGUCCCUAAAAAAAUAGGUUUGAGUCUACUAACUAGAACAAGAUUCGGGAGUUCAGUUACAUAUGAAAAACAUUAUAGCACCCUUACAUGCCCAUCCAAAAAAAAUGGUACCAUCUUAUUUUAAAUUUAUCCUUUGGUCUUAAUUCUAAUGGUUUUAAAUUUUAAUGUUUAAAUAUUGAAAAUAAUUCUUAAGAUUCUUUAUCAAUCUGGUAGAAUUUUUAAAAAUAUUUUCUCAUCUCAAGAGUAUUCAAAAAUCUAUUUGUUUUCUUGAAAAGGCUUCGUCGUAAAAAAAAUGUUUAAUUAUUACUUUUUAUUUUGGUUUUUUUAUUGAAAAUAUAUCUAAUUAUUCCACCAUUUUAGCUAAAUUAAAAAUAUUUUAUCUUUUUAAUUUCUAAAUUUUUCACCAUUUGGUUCUAUUUAUAAUUUUUUUUUAUCUUUGGAGAGAAAAUAAUAUGACAACUAUUUUUUUGAAAUUUCAUUUAAAUUGUUUCACUAUUUGGGACAAAUUUAAAGAAAUUUCUCACAUAAAGAUUUCUUAAAAAAUUUACCCUUUGAAAUUUCUAAGAAUCUCAUCAUUAGAUAACUGUCACAUAUUUUCAACCAAAAAUUUUUAUUUUUUAUUUUUUCUUUUGUUGAUUGAAAAUAAAUAUUAAUUAUAAUUAUUGAAACUUUAUCUAAAUUGUUUCACAAUUUAGGAUAAAUUUAGAAAAAAUUUCUCACAUAGGAAUUUUAUAAAAAUUUAUCAUUUGAAAUUUUUAAAAAUUUCAUCAUUGGAUAAUUAUUAUUUAUUCUCAAUUAAUAUAUUUUAUUAAUGAUUUAUUUCAUUUAUCAUUAUUUUAUUUAAUAUCAAAUAACAAAAACCAUAAAACAAAGUGAAUAAAUAAACAAUUAUUCAUAACACAAAUGAAUAAGCAAUCAAUUAAAGAAUAAAAAAAAUAAGAACAAGUACCUAACAAUUAAAGAAUUUAUAAAACAAAAAAAAAGCUAAAUAAAAGAAGUAUAAGUACCAAAGUUGACAUAAGCCUCUGGGAUGAAAUUCCUCCAAACCAAUGUACUAGCCUAUCACGUGAACUUUGUAUUUAGGCACCAUGUUUCUUUCCUCCCAUUUUAUUUCUUGUACUUUUUAUCAAAACUAGUAAGAUCAAUGUCUCCUUAAUCUACAAUAACUUUAAAAAAUUCCUUCUUGAACCAUCAAUCACUACUGUAAAAAUAGCCUUCUUAACUUUACCUUUUUCUUUUCAUUUUCUUCAUAAUCAUUUUUGGAUCAACCGCCCUAGAUUUUUAACCUCCUACUAGUUUUAGUUAAUGCUACAGUCGUGCACCGCCACCAACUAGCAAAAACUGUCCCUGGUUUCGGCUGAGUGUUUGAUCUGAGGUCUUUUCCUCUGUGUGUUUCUCUUUGUGUUUUUUGUGUGAUCAACGUGUGAAGUUAUAGGGAGCAGACUGAAGAAUUCCAUAUUAACCAUGACUCCUUUUGACAAGAUUUUUACAUUAUCACAUAAAAUUCAUCCCAUAAAAAUUAAAUCCAUCCAUAACUCUACCAACACCCAUUCACAACAGCAUUUACCUUUUUUUUCUUAUUUUUUUACCUUUUUUAUUAUUAAAUCUGUUAUUUCCUAAAAAUAAAAUAUAAAUCAAUCAAAAAAAUAAAAGAUAAAUAAAAACAAACAACUAGAUAAUCAAUAAAAAGAAAAAACCCUAAAUAAAUAAAUAAAUAUAUACAAUAAAAAGUAAUUGGGCCUACAAAAUUGCCUCUAUCGAGCUAGGCCUAAUAGGUUUGGGUUCGAACCAAAUAAGGUGUGUACAACAGCAAGUAAGAGACUACCUACAUAAAAACGAACUUCAAUAUAGCAUGUUCAACCCAAAAAUAGAGAUUCUUAAGUUUGAGGAGAAAAUACAACCUAAAAAGUUCUUAGAUUGGCUACAUUCAAUGGAAUGCAUCAUCGAAUACCAUGAUGCCCCUGAGCAUAGCAACAUAAAGCUAGUGGCCAUCAAACUUAAAAAGCAUGCAUCCUUAUGGUAAAAAAUUUUGAAAAAACAAAGAGAAAAAGAGGGCAAAAGUAAAAUUACAACUUGGGAAAAAAUGAAAUGAUAGUUGAAAAGAAAGUAUCUCCCAGACAACUUUCGAUAAAAUAUUUUUCUUUUACUUCAUAACUUGAAGCAAAAAGAUCUUUUAGUGAAAGAGUAUACAGUUAAGUUUGAUCACCUCAUUUUGAAAUGCAAAUUAGAGAAACAAAAAGAACAAACAAUUGCAUAAUUUCUUGAAAGAUUGAAGAUUAAGAUAGCUAAUAUGGUACAGCUACAACCUUAUUAGAUUUGAUCACCUCAUUUUGAAAUGCAAAAUUAGAGAAAUAAAAAAAACAAAUAAUUGCAUAAUUUUUUGGAGGGUUAAAGAUUAAGAUAGCUAAUAUGGUACAAUUACAACCUUAUUGGAUUUUUAACAAUGUAUGCAAGAUUGCCCUUAAGGUGGAGAGACAACAAAAGGAGACAGUGGUAACAACUUGAGAUUUGAAUCCCAAAAAGGCUAUAUCAAUAAAAGUGGCUCAUCUAAAACAUUUGUUCUUUCUAAGCUCAUUCCAAAGUAGCCUCAAAAGAAAAAUGAACCUUAACUACCAAGCCUCAAUCUAGUGCAUAAACCAAAAUGUGUUUUAAGUGUCAAGGGCUUAGACAUAUUGCCUCAGAAUGCUCAAACAGAAAGAUUAUGAUUUUAGUAGAAGAAGACUUAGAAAAAAAUAAACAGAAACUGAUUGAAGAGAAUAAAAAACUUAAAAAAGAGAAAAAGGUAACCUAUGGCAAUUGUGGAGCAUUCUUAGUCAUACAAUGCAACUUGAGUACCCACUUACUGAGGAAGAAGAUUGGUUGCAUAAAAAUAUGAUUCACACUUAAUAUACUGCCUAUAAAAAGGUACAUGCUAUUAUAAUUGAUAGUAAAAAUUUUGAAAACGUUAUUUUUACUUUUAUGGUGUAAAAUUAUGCCUUAAAAUGUUGGAUCAUCCCCUAACCAUAUAAGUUAUCUUGGCUACAAAAAGAGAAUGAAAUCAAGGUUAGUAAGAGGUGUCUGAUUCUUUUUUUCAUAAGAAAACAAUACCAAGACAAAGUGUAAUAUGAUGUAGCUUCUAUGGAUGCUUACCAUUUACUGCUUGGAAGACUUUAGCAUUAUGUUAUGAGGGUUAUUUAUAAUGGUUACCAUAAUACUUACAAAUUUGUGAAAGAUAGAUGCAAAAUCAUCCUAGGCCUUACCAAGCCUAUAGUCAUGUUAAAACCUAUCAAAGGAGAAAGAAGAAGCUUGUUUACCAAGGUCGAUUACAUAAGGGAAAUUAAAAUUAAUAGUACCAUGUAUGCAUUAAUACUGAUUGAGAAAAAUGGAGAUAGUGAAGAGUCUCCUACAGAGAUACAACCAUUGUUGGUAGAAUUUUAAAAUGUUGUUCAAUAAGAGUUACCAACUGGUCUACCACUAAUGAAGGACAUUCAACACUGUAUAAACUUUAUCCUAGGAGCUAUUCUACCCAAUAAAGUAGCCUAUAGGAUAAGUCCUAAAGAGUAUGAGGACUUGCAGUGCCAAGUUGAUGAAUUGGUGAGAAAAAAAAAUGGUGCGCGAAAGCAUAAGCCCUUGUGUAAUCCUAAACUUUUUAGUGCCUAAAAAAGAUAAAUCACGGCGCAUGUGUGUGGAUAGUAAGGAAAUCAAUAAAAUCAUGAUUGACUAUCACUUUCCUCUUUUGUGCUUGGAUGACUUACUAGACCAAUUACAUGGAACAAUUAUUUUCUUCAAGAUAGACCUAUGUAAUGGCUAUCAUCAAUCAAAAUGAGGCUUGGAGAUGAAUGAAAAAUAGCUUUCAAGAUAAGGGAUGGUGUCUGUGAAUGGAUGGUAAUGCUUUUUGGUUUAUCCAAUGUUCUUUGUAUUUUCAUAAGGUUUAUGACGCUUUUAGUGCCUAAAAAGAAUGGAUUAUGGCACAUGUGUGUGGAUGGUAGGGCAAUUAACAAAAUUACAAUUGAUUAUCAUUUUCUAUUCCAUGCUUAGAUGACUUGCUAGACCAACUACAUAGAGCAACUAUUUUCUUCAAGAUAGACUUAUGCAAUGGCUAUUAUCAAAUCAGAAUAAGGCCUAGAGAUGAGUGAAAAAUAGCCUUCAAGACAAUGAAUGAUUUUUAUGAAUGGAUAGUAAUACCUUUUGGUUUAUCCAAUACUCCUAAUGCUUUCAUGAGAUUUAUGACCCUUUUAGUGCCUAAAUAAGAUAGAUUAUGAUGCAUCUACGUGGAUAGUAAAACAAUCAAUAAAAUCAUGAUUGACUAUCACUUCUUAUUCUAUGUUUAGAUGACUUGCUAUGUUGAGCAACUAUAUUUUUCCAAUGGCUAUCAUCAAAUAAAAAUGAGGCAUGGAGAUGAGUGGAAAAUAACCUUUAAGAAAAAUGAUGGUCUUUAUGAAUAAAUGGUAAUGCCUUUUGGUUUAUCCAAUGCUCUUAGUACUUUUAUGAGGUUUAUGAAUCAUAUCUUUAAAUCUUAUAUUGGCCGAUAUGUGGUAGUAUAUUUUAAUGAUAUUCUAGUAUAUAACAAAGAUGAGGACCAACACUUAAAUUGUCUAUAACAAAUUUUUUGUAUAUUGAGGGAAUAAAAACUUUAUGCUAAUCGUAAAAAGUGUAGUUUCUUUACUUUCAACCUUAUGUUUCUAAGAUUUAUGGUGUCAAAUAAAGGAAUAAAAGUGUAUCCUAGCAAGGCUGAGGCAAUUUUAAAUUGGCCAACACCAGUAUCUUUACAUGAUAUCCAAAGCUUUCAUGGCCUUGUAUUUUUCUAUAGGCAUUUCAUUAAGGGUUUUAGCUAUACUAUGGCUCUCAUCAUUGAAUGUUUAAAGAAAGGGCUUUUAAAUGGACCAAAGAAGCCCAAUACAACUUUAAGCUCAUUAAAACGAGAAUCAUUUAAGCUCUUAUCCUAUCCCUACCAAAUUUUGAUCAAGUAUUCAAGGUGGAAUGUGAUGCAUCUAAUUCUAAAGUAGGUGCUAUUUUAAGCCAAGAAGAAAAGUUUAUAGCAUUUUUUAGUGAGAAGCACAAUGAAGCUAAGAGAAAGUAUUCAACUUAUGAUAAGAAGUUCUACAUCAUAUAAAGCUUUAUUCCAUUUGAGUCAAUAUCUGCUUGCUAAGCCAUUUGUCUUAUAUUUAAAUCAUGAGGCUUUGCAAUUCAUCAAUAGCUAGCACAAGCUUAACUAAAGGCAUGCAACUUAGGUAAAAUUUCGUCAAGCUUACAACUUCACUAUCAAGCAUAAAUUAGGAACUCAAAAUAUGGUGGCAGAUGCUUUGAGUAAAAAAAACUCCUAUUGGGGACUAUGGCUAUUGGAGUUAUUAGAUUUGAUGUAAUCAGAUGGUUCUAUGAAGUAAACCCUUACUUUGGUCGAAUUUAGAAAGAAUGCAAGUAAGGACCACACAAUCAAUUUUUGUUACAUGAUGGAUAUCUCUUCAAGGCUAAUAGCCUUUGCAUUCUCUCAUGUUCUUUGAUAUAGGCCUUAAUUAACAAGGCUCAAGAUGGUGCACUAGGUGGACAUUUUGAAAGGGACAAGAUAUUUUUUCUUUUGUAAGACAGGUUUUAUUGGUCAAGAAUGAAGAGAGAUAUGACGAAACACCUUUAACGAUAUAGAGUGUGCCACAUUGCUAAGAGUUAUGGGCAAAACAUUGGAUUGUAUACUCUACUACCCAUGCCUAGUACUCUUUGGGAGGAUGUUAGUUUAGACUUACUAGUAAGACUACCGAGAACUCAAAGGAACAAAGACUCUAUCAUAGUGGUUAUGGAUCAUUUUUCCAAGAUGGUCCAUUUCAUUCUUUGUACCAAAACUAUAAAUGCUUCUCAUGUUUUUUCUUUAUAUUUCAAAAAAAUUAUGAGGUUACAUGAAGUUCCUAGAUCCAUGAUGUCUGAUCGAAUUCUAAGUUUUUUAGUCAUUUUUAGCGCACUUUUUGAAAGAAGCUUGACACCAAUCUUAAGUAUAGUUCUUCUUAUCAUCUUCAAACAGAUGGUUAAACGAAAAUAACUAACUGCAGCUUGGGCAACCUUUUAAAAAGUUAUAUGGGAAAGGAUAUCAAGCAAUGUGAUCUUAUUUUACCUUAAGUAGAGUUUUGUCUAUAAUCACUCACCAAGCCAAACCACUGGUUGCAACCUUUUUGAAGUGAUGUGUGGUAAGAAUCUAAUUAGCCUUUUAGAUUUGGUUCUUCUCCCUACUAAUCAACAAUUUAGUAGAGAUCCAAAAGAAAUAGCUAAAGGUAUCAAAUGACUACAUGAGCAAGUGAGAGUUAGGAUUUUAUAGCAAAAUGAAAAAUAUAAAAGGGUAAAGAACAAGCAUCAAAGACAUGUAGAGUUAAAAAAAGGUGACUUGGUGUGGAUUAACUUAUAGAAAGAGAGAUUUCUUUCAGAAAAGUUUAGCAAGUUACAACCUAAGGUAGAUGGUCCAUUUAGAUUUAUCCAACGUAUUAAGGAAAAUGCCUGUAAGAUAGAACUUUCUGACACUUAUGGAGUAUCUCCUACCUUCAAUGUUGUUGAUUUGACACCCUAUCAUGGCGAGAAAACUAAUUCAUACUUGAUUAUAAGUCUUUUCCAACCAAAGGAGAUUGACACCAGAGUAUUAACACAUCUUACAACUUAGGCUGAAAAUAAAGAGGAUUUAUCCAAAAAUAAGAUAAGCCUAUCCUUGGUCCAAAUCCACUAAACAAAUGUAGAUGUAUGAAGAUGGAUAGCAUAAAGAGAUUGUAUUCACACUAACUGAAAAAAAAUAAAAACAUGAAAAUAGAUAGGAUUAUGGUCAGAUUCAUAGAUGAACCUAAACACUAAAUAUUAAACACAUUAUCAAUAUGCAAAAUUGUAAUUUGCAGGAGCAAAUGAGUAGCUAAUUAUGCAUCAAUUUAGCAAUCUAAAAAAGGCAAUCUUUGAAACUCCCAUACUUUGAGGGAUGUUCCUAGUCGAUUUAUGUUCUGUUAUUUUUUGUAAAAAGCAAAAUGGAGUUUUUUUUAUCUUUAAGUAAUUUUUUAGAUUGUUUUCAAGUUCUAUAUAUCUUAGGUAAAUUUUCUAGAGUGACAAAUUUUUAUAAUUUUGCAUCUUUGAUUAGAAUUUUUAUGGUAGUAUUUUUGUACCCUUGACGCAAUAUUUGGACAAAUAUUAAUAAAGGAAAGGAAACGAAAGGAAAGGAAAAGCAAAGAAAAGAAAGUUUUUUUUAAGAAAAAAAAAAAGAUACAUGUACCUAUUGUUUGGAUAAUUAAAAUUAAUAAUAAAAAAAAUUUAACAACCAUUGUUUAGAUAAAAAGUGAAAAUAAAAAAAAAGAUUUAUUAUAAUAAUUGUUUUCAAUUAUAAUCUUUAAUUGCUUAUGAUUUUAAAAUACUUUUGGAUAUAAUAAUCUUUUUAUAAAAAUAAAUUUUUUUCAACUUUUCUUUACUUAGCUUUUUUCCCAAAAUGGGGUAUUAAAAAAAUAAGAUUACAAGAGAAACAAAAAAUUAUUAAAUUUUUACCUCUUUUAUUUUUUUCAAAUUAAAAAUUUAUUCAAACAAAAAAUGAUUUUUCUAAUUCUAUUACUUUCUUUUAUUUUUCCUUUCUUUCUUUCCCCUCCCAUCAGUCCAAAUAUAAUGUUAAUGUCUAGUCUCAAUAUUCUAUCAUUAUUUAAAUUUUUAUAUGUUAUCUUUUUUUAAUUUUUUUAUUUAUAAUUAAUUUUUAAUAUCUCAACCAUCAAUUCUCUUAAUCAAAUAACGAUAAGAUAAAUAUAACAAUUGACUGUCCUAUCAAUGACAAUCAAUCGUGGUCAUAAUUGAAAUGUCUUCAUUUUCAUUUUUAUAUGAUUGUCCUAUGAAAACCUGGGAUCAACGAACCAUGGACAUUUCCAUUGAAAGGGCACCGAGACCAACUAUACUGUGGGCAGCUACACAAAUGCACUCCAUGAUACAAUUGACUGCAAAAAAAUCCUAAAUUCCAUCACACCAGAGUUGCAAUGAAUUCCAAACUAACCCAAAAUCUAUUUGAUGCUUAACAGUUGAAGACAAUCUAUCAAAGAAAAAAAAAAAGUAGUCGAAGAUAAAUUUCUCGAAAAGGAAAAAAAAAUAGUUGAAGACAAAUUACUUUGGGUUCACUUCCAUCUCUUUUUUUUAUUUAAUUUUUAAUCUAUUCUUAAAUUUUUUUACUUUUAUAUUUAUCUGAUAAAAAAGAUAUUAGACAUAAAUUUUUUAAAAUUUAUAAUUUCAAACAUCAAUUCAAAUAUUAUAUCAAUUAAUCAAAAUAUUAAAAAAAAACUUUCUUUACCUGUUAAAAAAAAAAAAAAAAACCAAUCCAAAUAUCAAUAAAAAAAAACUCUUUUAUCACUUAAAAACCAGUAAAGAAACAGAUAAUCGAUGGUCGUCUAAAGAAAUUGAGUAUGUUUUUAACUAUUUUAAUUUAGUAUCUUUCCCACGGUUUUCUCCAUCGUCAGCACUCAAUCUUACCCGGUAUCUAUCAAGUUCCAAUGCUUUCCACCUAACUUCCUGGUAACCUAGAUUAAGUAGAAGGUUCGAAAAAUAUCAAAAGACAAAAAGUAAUAACAAAGCGCACGAUUGGGCAUGGUAGUUGGAUCUGCCUUUUUCUUUCUUCCUUAUCAAUUUUGAUGAUUAACCCAAGGACGAAUUUUGAUACCAUUGACGAACGCAGAGCCUGAUUGCAAGAUUGGGGAUGGAAUACGAUGCAGAGAUAAGUUUGAAGUAUAUAAUGUUGACUUGACCAAUAGAGCAUGCCCACGCAAUUAUAGUUUUUGUUAUCGUCUACCCACCACUUCCACACCUAUUCUUCAGUCGUAAAUUCAUGUUUCGUCAAAUAUGUUGGCUUCCUUUGUCAUCACAAUAAUAAUUGUCGGGGUCGACCAACUUUGCCUCACUAGAUUUGUUUUUUUUCUUUUACACAGUGAUUAUUGUUGAGAAUAAUUAAGGAUGAGCAAUCAAUCGAUAUGAUUUUUUAAAAAAAUCAAAAAUCAAUUUUUUUAAAAAGAAUUAAUCAUAAUUAAUUUUUUGAAUAAUUAAAAAUAAUUUAAUUGACGUAAAGUUGGUCGAUUCAAUUAAAAAAUAAAAAUUUUUCAUUAUUUUUUAUCACUAAUUUUGAAUAAUAAUUUUGUAAUAAUUUUCAUAUAAUAAAAUAAUUUUAUAAUUUUGACAUUAAUAUAAUAUUUGUCAUUCUUAAAAAUAUUAAAUACUUUUAUGUACAUUAAAAUUAUAUAAAAUAUAUUUAGAAAUUUACUAACAAAUCGAUUAAUCGGUUUGAUUAUUAAUUUAAUAAAUAGAAAACCCACCAAAUUAAAUAAUUAAACCAUUUUAUUUAACAAAUCAUUAUCAAAAUCAAACUAAUCAAAUUGACUUAAUUAAAUUCAAUUAAUUUUGAUCAAUUAAACCAAUUAGAUUCUUAUACUCACCUCUAAUAACUUACUAGAAGUUUUGCUUGAUAUAGGGUGGGAACAUGGCCUUUGAAGUUAAAGAUUUAUUUGAAUGGAUAAUAAGAUUAAAAAUAAAGAUAGAAAUAAAAUUAAUUACUAAUAAUGAGAUUAAAAUUAAUGAUAAGAUAUAUAUAUAUAUUUAAAUACAAAUACAAUGAUAAGAGUGAAUUAAAGCUUAAUGAGAAAAUAAAUUUUCCUUAAAUAUAUUAGAAUAUAUUUUGUAUAAAGUAAAAUUUUUAAAUUAUUUGAUAUUUAUGAAAUUAACAAUGAAUUAAAAUUAUUUUAAAGUUAAAUAAUAAUUUAUUAAUAAAUAAUAAAAACUAAUAAAAUAAUAAUAUAUCAAUAUUUUUAAAAAAAUAAUAAUAUAUUUACAUAAAUCAUAAUAAUCUAAAAAGAUAAUAAUCAAUUUUUUAUGGAAAAUAAUAAUUAUUUUUUAUUCAAAAUAAAAAUUUUAUCGUAUGUUAUUAUUAAAUGGAUCAUACCAUAUUAUAAUAUAAUUCAAUAAGUAGCAUUUUAAAUAGAAAUAAAAAAAUUGAAUAAAUUUGUAUUUGGCAUAAUUGCUUCGAUGAUAUUAGUUGGCUAAUGCAUUUUUAAAAUAUUAUUAUAUUCUUCUGUUUUUCAUUAUCUUUCUUUAUUUGGUCUCCUUGAAAAACUAUCAAUUCUUUCGUGUGGGAGGAAGCUGCUUUAGAAUUAGAAAAACAGAGAAUACGCAGAGGAACAAAUUUUUUAAUUUUAUGCAAAAUUAUAAAGUCAAAUUCCAUUAAUUUUGAUUAUGUAAUUAAUUGACCUUUAAGCCCAAACAGCCAGGAGAGACAUAAGACCAGAUCCAAGAAGAAGACAAACACUUGCUCCUACUUGAAGUAUUCCAUUGUUUUGCAACUUUGGAUUCAUGAAAUCAGCAGCCAGAAGAUCGACAAGCGCCAUAUAUAUUAAGAUCCCAGCUGAUGCCGCGUUGAAGAUCCCUUCAACAAUAAGAGCAGUUGAGCUGUUCUCAUCGUAUACAUUUGAUAUGCCUAUUCCUAUAGCAAUUCCUACCGGGGUUGUGAGAGAGAAAAAGAUUGCCAUAAUUGCAACAGCUCGAGACUUGAAUUUUGCCUACAAAAACAUCCACAAUAAACCACUACUAAACAAAAUGGUAUUAAAAAAAAAAAAAGAACAGUACCAUCCCAAAAGCCAGAUAAUGACAAACGUGGGGCAUCUGAUUUCCCCGUUUCCAGUUUACAGAAAUGGUUGGAAGUUAUUAAACAAAAUCUGAACAUUUAUUAGUAGUUAUUACCCUGGAAAAUACCUCAGACGAAGAAAUGGGAUUGUUGGAGAUUCAGGGGAAAGUCAUAAACACAUAAAAUUGGGAAAAACAAGGGAUUGAAGAUAUAUUACCUGAGAAAUGCAUCCACCAAGUCCCAUGCCCUCGAAGAACUGGUGAAAGGUGAGUGCAGCCACCAAAGGUUUUAUAGUCUUUGGACUUUCAGAUGCACCCAAAGAUAUCCCUAUUAUCACUGAGUGCACCAGUAUUCCCAACUCCAAAACCUACAAAAAAAUGUAUAAUAUCAUAUUAAUUUUCAUCAUACUAACAUUUGAUCAAAUAUAUAUCAGUCUGAUGAUGAUUAUUCAAAUCUUUAGUGGAACAAAAGAAUUUAAAAUUAUCCAAUAUAUAUGAUUUAGAGUUUAGACAUGUUUGCUUUAGACAAAAAUUACCUGAGAUACUACUCGAUGUCGAAGAAGCUCAGAUGAAACUGAACGCUCAAGCAUAGACACAGAACCAUGAGCAUGGCCAUGAGUAGCAUGAGUAUGAACAUGUACGUGAUUUUCAUGCUCCCCUGUUUUCUCUUCAUCACCACCGUCACUCUGUUGGGCCUUAUUAAAGUGAGACUUAGUGUAGUGAGAAGUUGCAAACAUAUCAACCAUCAAUGUAGCAAUUGCAGCGGACAUAGCCACCAAUCCAGCGAACGGAAACUUCCCCCAAGGAUUUUCAUUGAGGCAAGGAGAUGUCAAGUUCUCAGUAGCAUCAGGAAGAACAUGGAUAAACCCUGUCGACAAUAUGACACCUGCUGCAAAGGCUUUGAUCAAGAAGAAAACAUUCUUUUCGGGACGUAAAGCCUUGAUAGUUUUCCCAAGCAGAGGAAAGCAAACCCCAAUAGCUCCAGCAACGAGAAUCGAAACUAAAGCAGCCAUCUUGUAUUUGAGCGCCAGUGGCUUAUUCCGAUCUUCAUCUUCAGGUUCGCACGUGCAGUCUCCUCGUACUAGGGAAGGAAGUAGGAUGAGAAAGCAGCAAAGAAACGUCAAGAGCUGAGUUUGUUUAAAGUUGGUCAUGGCUGGAAAUGAAAACCGAAUCCAAUUGAGG